CUCGUUUAAUUAAAUUAUUAUCCGUUUAGUAUCUGUAUGGAUUGUUAAUAUGUUCUACUUUCGUUCUUGAUUUAUGUCUGGUGUUAAUUUAUCUAUUGGGAGGAAUGUACAUUUUCAUUUUAUAUUCCUGAAGACAACUUUGAGUUGUAAGUAAGCAGUCCCUGCAAAUGAAUUCUAUGAUCAAACUAAAAGUCAGGAUGACGAAAUGAACUGCAUUAGAAACCUGAUAAAUUCUGUAACGUAUGUUAAAAAAAAAAGGAAAGGCAUGUUCACACGUGAGAGAGAGAGAGAGAGAGAGAGGGGAAGCUGUCAAAUCGACCCGCAAAACCGGACCCAACCCCGCAAACCCGACCCGCCCACUGUUUCCGUUUCCGACCACCCCACCGGCCAAGGGAGGUAUCGAUCGAAAUACCUUGAGCCGCUGGUUAUUUUUCCCUCGUCAUUUCCAUCGGAAAAACAGCCAAAAAGCCACCGAUCGAAGCCGUGAAGAACCGCGGAAUCGCCGCCUCUGUUCGCCACGAUUUGGCUGGUUUCCGGCCACGCCAACGGCUGGUUUUUACUCCUCACACCACCACCUUUCAUUUCCGACUAUCCACAUUCACCGGCAGCCACCGAUUUGCUGCCGGCCAAUUGUUGAGGUGCUCACGGCUGUCGAGCUACAUUCCGACGCCGUCGCCGCGUGUCAGAGCACAUCGACGCAACCGCUGGAUUCAGCAAGGCACGAACCUUCUAUCCCGUCCUUUCCGGUCACCGUCGCAUGAGUUCCGGUUACCGUUGAAUUUGAGGGUAAUUUCAUAAAUUUUUAAUUUUGUGAGUAUUUCAAUAAUUUCUAAUUUGGAAGAUAAAAUUUGAGGAUAAUUUGAUAAAUUAUGAUUUCGAGGAUAAUUUGGUAACUUGUGAUUUGGAGAUUUCAGGGGCAAUUGAGAUUAUGUUUAGGUGUUUAUAAUGAGAAAUUUGAGGACAUUGAAAUUAUGAUUAUGACUUGAUUUUAUCUUAUGAGGAUUUUCUUAUUUGUUUUAGGUCGAUGAUAUCUAUUUGCAUUUGUUACUUGAGGAUAUCAUAAGGUAAGUAAAUUAGAUUUUUAAAUGAAUUAUGAUAAAUAAUAUGUAUAUGUUUGACAUAUUUAAAAAGUAUAUUUUGAUAUGUACGGAUAUAGACUUGUAUGUUUGUCCACGUGUUUAUGUGAUGUGUUAAUAUGGUGUGUUGUUAUGUGUUAUGUGUGUUUAUGGACAUGGGCAUUUGUAUGUGUGAAUAUCUAUUAACAUUAGCACGAAAAUGCAUUAUGUUUCCUAUGAAUGAGAAAGUAGAUUUUUGCCAAACGAAAUUUGAAAAAAGAAAGUGAGUUUUACAAUUUUUGGCUUGGAUGCUUGAAUUCGUUACUCGCUUUGUAACAUCCUAGUCCAAAUUCUGAGGGUAAAUUUGUCCAUAACUCACAUAUGAAUUUAAAAAAAAAAAAAAAGAACUCUUUACAACUGAUAUCUCCUUACAAUCGAUAAUAAGUCAAACUUCAAAUAUAAGAGGCAACGAAAUUAUUUAAAAAUUUGACCAAACCAUCUAUCAUUCUCAAUUCAAGUCCUCUUCGCACAUAAAUCAAUUCUAAUUUCUAAAAAUUGAAUCACAAUAAACUAUAAUUAGUAGAAAACUCAAUAAGCAAAUUAAUUUUUUCUAUACAAAAAUACAUACAUACUUAUACAUAAUGCAAUAGAUGAUAUGUCAUGAUCUUUUCAAAAGUACUUGAAACAAAUUCAUAAAAGUCUAUUUUUGUCGCUUUUAAACUUUUUCAUUUUCUUUCAAUAAAAUAUAUAUUUUGUAAUUGUGGCACUUUGCCCUAUGCGUGGCAUUUUUUACUAUACGUGGCACUUUGCGGCUCUCUAGCCCUCAAGACAUGACCCCUGUAUAGUCUCAAGAGGUUGCCCUCAAUACAAAAUCUCAUAAAGCAGAAAUUUUGUUUGUUAAAAUCCAUUUUCUCACUCAUAGAAAACUUAAUGCAUUUUCGUGCUUAUGCCAAUGAAAUUUCACACAUACAUAUGCACAUGUACGUAAUCACGCUCAACACAUAAUAACACAUCACAUAAACACAUGGGCAGAGACAUAUAAAUUCACAUUAGUACGUAUCAAAUAUAGGUUUUUCACACAAAUCAAACAUAUAUAUUGUUUAUUGUGAUUCGUUUUGAAGUCUAGUUUACUUAUCUCUUGACAUCAUCAUGUAACAAAUGCGUACUGAUAUCAUCAACCUAAAGUCAUCAACAAAAUUCUCAUAAGAUAUAAUCAAGUCUCAAUUAUAAACUCUAAUAUCCUCAACUAUCUCAAUUUAAACAUCUCAUAAGCUCAACCUCAAAUGUCCUCAAUAAUCGGCCCUCAAAACAUAACAUGUCAUAUUCUCCGAUUUUUAAUAAAUUAUUACCUCAUUGGAAAAAUCUCAAAUUUUAUAGACCAUAAGUUGACAUAUUGAAAGUUCAUUGCUAAAAAUUUCAUAGUUUAAUUCCUUAAAAAACUAUUGAAAAUAAUUGACGUUCCAGACAUCAUCAAUGUUAUCAAACAAUUUUUUGUUUUGAACACACUUGCUUUAAAACUAAAAAAUAAUUUUUUUCUUUAUCAUAAAAUCGUGAAAAUUUAUAGAAUCAUACUAGACAUAUAUAAAAAUCAUUGAUCCAAAUUUCAUAAUUUUUGAAAAAGUAUAGCUAUGGUAAAAAUAAUUUUGUAAUUCACGUUAUUCACUUAAAUAAAAAAUUUUCAGGUUUUCAAACUUGAAUUUGAAAAAUCGUAAUUAAUUGAAAUCUUAUCCGAUUAACUUGAAACAAGUUUCAAAACAUUCUAAACGAUGUCUAGUUUAACAUAUCCAAAAAUCAAAAUCAAAAUCAAAAUCAAUUUUUACAAAUUACUAUGAUUUUCAUAAUAAUUCACUGUCAGCAUAUUUCUGCCAAAUCUUAGGUUUCUACUUCUAGUGCAAUCAUGAUUCUCCACAACAAAUUAAUAAAAACCAUAAAUUAAAACUUACCUCCAAAUCCAAAUCUUCUCUCAACAAUACCCAAUUCAAAUUAUGCAAUUUGAUCUCAUGUAUUGCUCAUGGCAGAAUAAAGAAUAAGACUUUCUUCUUCUCUUUUUAUUUUCUUUUCUUUCUUUUCUCUCCAUCUUUUUUUUUUUCCUAUCUGUCGUAUUUUUUUUUCUUAGCCAAUUUCGCUUUCUCUCUCUCUCCUAAUGGAAAGACAUCUUGUUCUAUUUAUACUAGGGUAGAAAUGAUCACUAAAAACUAAAAAGACUUAAAUACCCUUAAGAGAAUUGGGAUAUUACAUGCUUAGUGGAGGACACUCUGUAUGUUAUGUUGUGUGGGCGAGGGACGUGUUUACGUGGAUUUAUGAAAGUUAAGUGAGCAUCGUACUAAGCGGUAAUUGAAUUAAUGUAGCUCAAGUGAUCUGAAAGAAAAUGCGAAAGUUUGAAAAUGACAAAAUAAGAUUUUGAUGAUUCGUUUUAUAAUAUUUUCGAAUACCGUGGCACGUCAUCCAUUUGCAUUAUAUAUAUGUAUGUAUGUAUUUUGAUAUAUGAAAAAUUGAUUUGUUUACUGAGUUUUGUACGUAUUAUAGUUUAUUAUGAUUCAGUUUUCAGAAAUCAGGUUUGAUUUAUGAUGAGUGACGAGAAAGACCUGAAUUGAGGAAGUAUGUGGUUUGGCAUAAUUAUCCUUAGGUUCUUCCACUGCAGUUUAAGGUUGCGUUUUGAGGCUUAAAUUGUCGUUAAUAAUUAUAUUCGACGAGCGAGUUCUUAUUGAUUUUAUAGAGAUUUUAAAGUAUAUAUUUGAAUUGCAGUUAGAUUCACCCUGUGGAGUUCGGGCGGGUCGUUUCAAAUUCAGCCAUUCCGGAUCCGGAGGUAAAGGGUGGGUUAAGACGGCCCAUGGGGAAGUCAUAUUCUGGGCAAAGAUAGAGAGUUAUUGGGGUUUGGCACACUGAAUUUAAAUCAUAUAAAAGCCCAUCACUAAAGCUCAAGGUAAGAAAUGCUGAUCGAUUUGAUUUCAAGACUGCAACUGGGGAAGCUACAAUUGAGAUUAAUCUGAAGUUGCGAAGAAUAGUUUCGGAGAUUCAGGUAUUUGCUGCUUUUUGCUUCAACUUUUAUCACUUAACCUGCUAUCCUUGUAUAUGAUUACAUAGUGCUUGAAAUUCUCUCUGUUCCAUCAUAAUGUUAAUGCAUCUUUGAUCUUCACACUUUACUGUAAUUUUAAUGAGUCCCGAUCCAGUCACAGGUGGUGGGUGUUCAUUGGCGGAGCUGCGGACCCCACAACACAGCUCCACCAAUGACAAAUCGCCAUGGGCGCGCACAUGAUCGAAAUGCUAAUUGAACAUAUUAUCUGCAAGAACCCUGUUUAGUGUUCUAUUAGCUUUGUUUCGUCUGUCAUUAACAUGCGCUUAUUACCUUUUAUUUCAAUCGUCAGGAUGGGAAGAUUGAUACUGAUUCCGUCUACAGUGGGUUUAAAGACAACCUGAGGUUAAUGUGGGAUCAUUUCUUGUCAUGCGAGCAGCUUUUGACAUGAACAACAGAUUGCAAGCUCUCCCCUACUCUGGGUUGAUGUUUGCAUUUGGGUGCAUCCUGUACUUGCUGCUGUGGAAAGAUGUAAAUAGGAUGAUGUUUGUGUCAAAUGGUUUUUUGCUAAUUAUGUGUGCACUUUUAUUAAAUCUUUGCUGGAGUAGUUCUCAUUCUGAACUUCAAAUUUUGUCCAGUUUCGGCCUCAUUUUUUUUUCUCGUGUUUUACCUUUUCAUGUGUGAAUAAAUAUCAACAACUAGUACAAAUUUGUAAGACUAAGACCUGUCUUUCAAAAUUAAUGACAUUGCUUGAAUCACUUGGGAUCCACUUGCAGAUCUAUUUUGAAGAAAAGUUUUCUCCCCAACCUUAAUCGGUAAUGCAUUAUGAUUCUCUCCUUAUUUUUUUUUCUUUUUUCUUUUAGUCUCAUUUUAUUUUUUAAAUUUAGAUUAAAAAAAUCAAUUUAAUAACAAAUAAAAUAAAAGAAACUGGUUUAAUUGUUAAUAUCAGAAUUUAAAAUUUAAUUUUGAUUUUUUUUUUAAUGAUGGUGAUCGUUUAGUCCAUAAGGAGCGAUCAAGAGUAACAAAAAAAGAUUAUUGUCUGUCAGUAAUAUGGUAAUUUAUAGAAAGGUCCCUGAUGAUGUCCGGUUAAAAUUUAAUUAAAUUAGUAAAUUAGAGAAUUAGUUAAUUUUUUCACAUAUUACAUUAAAGUGGAGUCUCGCUGCGAGCAAAAGAGAUGCCUUUUACAAAGCAAGAAAAGAAAACACAAAAAGCACACUUCAAAACUUGUGCAAGAAGGAGAUAUGUAUAUUGAUACAUGUAUAUAUACCCACGUCUGAGGAUCAGCUGAACCAACACCCAACACUAGGAAGCAAUUUUAAAAUUUUUGGUUAGUAUUGUUAUUUACAUCUUAUCAAUUUUUGUUCAAUUUAUUAUAUUUUUACUACAGCUUUGUUUCAGGGUACUUGUCAUGUGAAUUUCUCUGAUGAUUUUGGUGGGUUCUUUUCAGCUUUUAUUUCACUGUCUCCACUGGUUAGCUUAGCUACUGUCUACUGAGAUAAAAUCAUUUGCUAGAAUAACUUAAUCUUUUGCUAUUUUGUUAUAUUCAUUUUAUACAGAAUUAAAUCAUUGUAUCAAAUGUUUGUUUUAGCUCUGAUCUUGCGUUACUGAAACGUUUCAUUCAUUUUUCCCAAGCACUUUGGUUGCUAGUUUAUCGGGCAGUACUGCGAUAGUGAUUUCAAUUUACAAAAUUCUGUAAAUACUUAUUAUUCUUAGUGUCGUUUAAGGUAGUGUGAAGUUAAUAUUAUCACAAUGGCUUACAUUCCACCAAAUUUGAGGCGUUCGAAGGACCCCCAGAGGCCCUCUCCAGUUCCGGAGAUGCUUGAGCCUAUAUUCAACAGAAAAUUAAAAUUGGGAUCAUCCAAGCAUGACGCAGGCGCGAGUACAAAUUGCAUCGAGUAUGGAGACCAUGCCGUACACAGAUCGUUUGUCUGUGGCUUGGAUAAUAAUAAAAGCAUUUCUUCUGACCAUUUCGAGGAGGUUCCAGAGGAGCCUGAUGAGCAAAAAAGAUCAGUGACCAUUAAUCUGGCCACAGGUUAGUGGUCGGCAUUUUUAGUUUUAUUUUAGAUAUGUUCUACUUUCGUUCUUGAUUUAUGUCGGGUGUUAACUUUAGUUAUGUUGACAUUUUUGGUUGGUAGAUAAUGAUAAAGCGUGUGCAAAUACAUCAAGAAGCCCCUGGGAAUCGAUAGCAGCAAAUGUAUGGCCAGAUGUAUUGAGUGCUUGUAACAUUGUCAAGAACGAAAUGGAGGAAAAGCCAAAAAUGGUUGCUAGAUUUGGCAAUAUUCUUUUCGAUGAGUAUGUGAUCUGGUUCCAUUGGUGUUCCAGCUUGAAUGUUUUUAGUUUGAUCAUUCCAUUCCUUUCUUUUGGCUUUGAAAUUGUAGCAACGAAUAUGCAUAUUCACACUGAAAUCUGACAGAAAUUUUGCGGUCAUAUAAGUACCGGCAGCUAAAAUUACGAAGUUUACCAUUAACGCUAGUGCCAUCAACGGAUGACAGUAAAUCGGAUCUCCAAACCAGGGAUACAAGUUAACAUUGCUUGUAAAAGCUAAAGAAGAAAAGAUUUAUUAAAAAAAUAAUAAUAAUAAAUAAAGGGAAAAGAAAUGACAAGAUCAAUGAUUUAUAGUGCAUGCACUUCUUGAGACUUGUUGUAUCUCAAGGAAGCUUCCAUGGCAUCUAGAAUUUGGCUUUGGCUUCUUGUAGGCACAUUUCAGUAGUUGCUGCUGGAAACAAAUGUAUCCAUUGUCUUAGUACUGCUACAUUUCUGGUGCGAGAAACAAAUCAAUCUGUUGCCAUGGCCAGGUUUUAUUGUUUGAUGUUUCAUUGGGACAGCAAACUAAACCAUUGCUUGGCCUAUUUCUUAGAAUAAAAAUGAUACUAUGUGUAUCACAUAUUUCCAUUCUUCUAUCACGUCUUUGAAACUGCUAUUAGUUUUCUUAUCAAGGUGCCUCAAAGAAAUAAUUAUUAUAUAAUUCAUCUUGACGCAGGAACGAUUUACUGAGCUUAGAAAGUGCAAGCGAACAUCAAGUUGCUGAAACCGCUUUUAAGGCAAUGAGGACCUGCUUUGACACAGGUGUCCCUGCUACAUACAUGGAAAACAUUGUACAUAAAGUUGUGCCAAAAAUUGGGGUUGAUUUUGUACAGGACAAGGAUAUAUACCAUGUACAGGUAGUUCUUCUGCUAAACACUUAUAUAUUCACGAUCAAGUUUCUUUUAUCUCUCACUUAAUUUGGCCAUUAAUUGUUUUCCCCUUCUUGUCUAGUUGUGUGACGGCACACGACAAAUUUUGUGCAAAUGUACUGUUAAAGAAGAUAAAAAGCUUGAGCUCUAUAAGGCAAGUUUUAUGCAUUUGGCUAACUGUUAUUUAAAUCUUGUGUGUGUUGCCUGUAUUUUAAGGAGACUUUUUGCUUGUUCAAACAUCGCAACAAGACUUCUGAUGUAUUGAAUUGAAUAGAUGAGGGUCUGAAUAUAAUCUUUUCACUGUGAUUAUAAAGGAGGUACCAAAAUAAAAGCGAUAAACAUUAAGAAUGAGAUGAAACCUUUAUGCCUCACUAAGACUUUUUAGAAGUCUCUGCAGGAAUAAUCUCAAUUUUGAGGAAAAGAGUUUAAAAUGAAGAAGAAAAUUCUCAAUGAGUAAGACUAAUUCUACUUCUGAUUGAGGAAGAGGCUUGUUAAUUCGAUAAGGAAAGAUCUAGUUAGUAUUAUGAACCAAUUAAAAUUUGAAUUACGUUAGUUUACCUGUAAUUGAAUGUCUAAACCAACAAACUAUGUAUUACAUUACAGUUGCGAAUAUAAAAUUAUAAAAAUACUGCUGAUUAUGGACCAAAUUGAAUAUGCCAAUCUUUAGGAACUCCUUUCAGCAUCAUGGAUUUAGAUUUCAGUAAUCUUUUUUAUUUGACUAUGGUGACAUCCCGAAGACCUGAACUAUCCAGUAUCUGAUGGUAGUCAUUUUUUAUUUAUUUAUUGUUGCAUUCUCGUCUUGAAUAUGAACAUUUUUCUUGUAGGUCCAACUAAACCAAGUUCGUCACAUGGUAGCUGAUAUAUUCUGUUUUGAUGAAAAUCUAGAUUUGAGGUUGGCACUAUAUACAAGAAGUACCUUAUUUGCUCUCCCUGUGAGUUCAUCUGCUACUUUGCGCUUGUUUUACCUAGACUUUUAAGUUACCCCUUCAUUUUUUACUCUUUUUGUUUUAUUUGGUUAUUGCUCAUUAGAAUCCUCAUCGAUACAGAUGGUGGGGAAUAAAAAUUCAAGACCAGGGUAAAUGAGGAAAUCUAAAACUUAUAGCUGUGUUUUCAUCAUCAAAAGUUUACUUUCGAAGGGUUGAGAAAAACAAAUAUAUGACGAGCUUAAACGGUCAAACUUUAGUCAUGCAUUGCCCUUUCCUUGAAAUCAGAAACCUUACAAAUGUUAAAAAUAAAAUAAUAAAUAAAUCAUUAGAUUUUCAAAAUUAGUUGCCAUCAAUUAGAAUUAAAACAAAAGUUAAAUAUAAGGUUUUUCUUGUUGUUGGGGUGCGUAUGUGUGUUCUCGAUCUGUUGUGAGGAAUGUACAUUUUUAUUUUAUAUUGCUGGAAACAAUCUUGAGUUAUAAGCCAAAAAUGUGUAUUUACCAUAUCUUAUAUUUUCUAUGUAGGCCUAGCAAAUGAAUUCCAUGAUGAAACUGAAAUUGUAAAAUUUGCAGGAUGAUGACAUGAGCAGCAUUAGAAUUCUGAUUAAUUCAGCCAUCCCGGAUCCGAAGGUAAAGGGUGGUUUAAGAUGGCCCGUGGGCAAGUCAUAUUCCGGGAAUUACACAGUUGUUGGGGUUUGGCACAAUGAAUUUAAGUCAUAUAAAAGCCCAUCACUAAAGCUCAAGGUAAGAAAUGUUGAUCGAUUUCUUUUCAAGGCUGGAACUGGGGUAGCUACAAUCGAGAUUAAUCUAAAGUUCAGAAGAAUAAUUUCGGACAUUCAGGUAUUUGCUGCUUUUUGUUUUAACUUUAUCACGUGACCUGCUAUCUUUGUGUAUGAAUAUAUAGAGCUUGAAAUUCUUGCUGUUACAUCAUAAGGUUAAUGCAUAUAUCUUCACACAUUUCUUAUUGAGGUUUUAUUUUGAGCUAUAAUUAUAAUUUUCAAUUUUUACUAUUUAAUGGGUAUUUUCUUGUAGAUUGCUGUACCCAAAAAAAAAAAAAAAUUUGAUCAAGAGUAUUUUUAACGGUGAAAUAGCAAGAUUCUAAUGUAUAAUCUUCAUGAACUCGUUUUAGUUGUUAUACAGUUGUCCCUCUCUGUUAGUUUAUUUAUUCUGUCGUAACUCGCAAGUAACAAAUGACUUUUUAGCUAUUGCCUAAACUGGAGUAAAUGUGAUUUCAAAACUGAGCUUCCAGCUUAUGACUUAGAAGUCUUAUGUGUGUGUCUUGCACUUUGGUUUUACAAUCACCAUUGGAAGAGGAGCUAGAGUUUGUUAAUUGCUUCAGUCCCAGGAUUAGUGUUUUGAAACAUAAAUAUGUUUCAUGAUUGUUAUUGCUCACUAUUUCCUAUGGCUUUGUCCCCAUGAUCAUACAAAAUUAGUUUUGUAUUUGGUAUCUUUCAUGUUUCAUUAACAUGUUCUUAUUACUUUUCUCUUUUAAUCGUCAGGACGGGGAGAUUGAUCCCGAUUCCAUCUACAAUGGGUUUAAAGACAAGUUGAGGUUAAUAUGGGACCAUUUCUUGUCAUGGGAAGAUUGAUACUGAUUCCAUCUACAGUGGGUUUUAAAGCCAACUUGAGGCUAAUAUGGGAUCAUUUCUUGUCAUGCGAGUAACCUUGGACAUAAACAGCUCUCCUUCUACUUCGUUCGUAUUUGCAUGCGUGUGCAUUAUGUACUUAUUGCUAUUGAAAGAUGUAAAUGCAAGAACGAGAUCACGUUCAUAUCGAAUGGAUAAAUGUUUUUGCUAAAAUGUAUAGACUUGUAUAAGUCGUUGCUUGAGUUCCUAAAUUCUCAUUCUGAUCCAGUUUUUACCUCAGUUUUUUCCCGUAUAAUAGUUGUAUUUGGUAUAAGUUUGGCACUUCAAGUGUAGAGUGUUUUAUAUUUUCCAUGUGUGGAAUGUAUAUUAACAGCUUGUAACUAUAGAGUUUGAUUUUAUUUCUAAGACCCGUCUUUCAAAAUUUAUCCAGUGACAUACUUGAAUCACUUGGGAUCCACUGGCAAAUGUAUAUUGAAGAACAAUUUUCUCCCUGCCUCUUAUGUAAUCGCGCCCACUAAUAAUAUGGUAAUUUGUUAGAAGGUCCUUGAUGUCUGGUUAAAAUUUAUUUAGAUUAGUAAACUCAUCCAAAACGGUCUCACUUUCAAUUUUUAUUUUGAAAGUGUAUUUUUAAAGAUUCAAUCGGCAUUCUGCAUGUCAGUGCUUUUUUUGUUUUUUUAACUUUUACUUUUAAACUAUUGGUUAGAAGGCAAACAAUUCACAUUAAAGUGGAGCCUCCUUGGGACUAAAGGUAAUGCCUUUCCCAAAGCAAGAAAAGAAAACCCCCCAUGUCCAAUUAGCAUUGAUUGAGUUUAUUAAUUUGACUUGGGGCUUGUUUCGAUCUUCUUCUUCUCCUUCUUCCACUUCCUCUUCUUCAAAGUUCAAUUAUUGCAUCCUCUAAAAUGACAUGCAUUACGUAAUCUGACGUUUUUGUUUCUUAAGCAUUCACCACGCAAAAAGUUGUCUUGCUAGCUGCCAAAAACCAAAUUAACAUUGCUUCCAUUAUCCGAUUACAGUGAGUCACGUUGUCCCAGUGUGGUGUCAUUAAUCUGCUUAAUUUUAUGUAGUUUAUGUAUUAUUCACGAAGCAUAUAAAUUAAAAUUUAUAAUAAAAUUACAUUUUAUGUACAAUUAUUGUUUAAUACAUAAAACAUUACAUAUCAAAUUAUUAAAAAAAAAAAAAAGAGUUAAAAGCUCGUUUAAUUAAAUUAUUAUCCGUUUAGUAUCUGUAUGGAUUGUUAAUAUGUUCUACUUUCGUUCUUGAUUUAUGUCUGGUGUUAAUUUAUCUAUUGGGAGGAAUGUACAUUUUCAUUUUAUAUUCCUGAAGACAACUUUGAGUUGUAAGUAAGCAGUCCCUGCAAAUGAAUUCUAUGAUCAAACUAAAAGUCAGGAUGACGAAAUGAACUGCAUUAGAAACCUGAUAAAUUCUGUAACGUAUGUUAAAAAAAAAGGAAAGGCAUGUUCACACGUGAGAGAGAGAGAGAGAGAGGGGAAGCUCUCAAAUCGACCCGCAAAACCGGACCCAACCCCGCAAACCCGACCCGCCCACUGUUUCCGUUUCCGACCACCCCACCGGCCAAGGGAGGUAUCGAUCGAAAUACCUUGAGCCGCUGGUUAUUUUUCCCUCGUCAUUUCCAUCGGAAAAACAGCCAAAAAGCCACCGAUCGAGGCCGUUAAGAACCGCGGAAUCGCCGCCUCUGUUCGCCACGAUUUGGCUGGUUUCCGGCCACGCCAACGGCUGGUUUUUACUCCUCACACCACCACCUUUCAUUUCCGACUAUCCACAUUCACCGGCAGCCACCGAUUUGCUGCCGGCCAAUUGUUGAGGUGCUCACGGCUGUCGAGCUAGAUUCCGACGCCGUCGCCGCGUGUCAGAGCACAUCGACGCAACCGCUGGAUUCAGCAAGGCACGAACCUUCUAUCCCGACCUUUCCGGUCACCGUCGCAUGAAUUCCGGUCACCGUUGAAUUUGAGGGUAAUUUCAUAAAUUUUUAAUUUUGUGAGUAUUUCAAUAAUUUCUAAUUUGGAGGAUAAAAUUUGAGGAUAAUUUGAUAAAUUAUGAUUUCGAGGAUAAUUUGGUAACUUGUGAUUUGGAGAUUUCAGGGGCAAUUGAGAUUAUGUUUAGGUGUUUAUAAUGAGAAAUUUGAGGACAUUGAAAUUAUGAUUAUGACUUGAUUUU
rnacentral:lncRNA from 1 species